ACGGAAGGCAGCAGUGGGGGAUAUUGGACAAUGGGGGCAACCCUGAUCCAGCGACGCCGCGUGAGUGAAGAAGUAUUUCGGUAUGUAAAGCUCUAUCAGCAGGGAAGAAAAAAUCAAAAUUGACUGUACCUGACUAAGAAGCCCCGGCUAACUACGUGCCAGCAGCCGCGGUAAUACGUAGGGGGCAAGCGUUAUCCGGAAUUACUGGGUGUAAAGGGAGUGUAGGCGGUUUGGCAAGUCAGAUGUGAAAACCCGGGGCUCAACCUAGGGACUGCAUUUGAAACUGUCAGACUAGAGUGUCGGAGGGGCAAGCGGAAUUCCAAGUGUAGCGGUGAAAUGCGUAGAUAUUUGGAAGAACACCGGUGGCGAAGGCGGCUUGCUGGACGACAACUGACGCUGAGGCUCGAAAGCGUGGGGAGCAAACAGGAUUAGAUACCCUGGUA
rnacentral:rRNA from 1 species